rnacentral:lncRNA from 1 species
GUUCCUCCAAAGGAUUCUCAGUACAAGCGGGAUCAAAGGGGCAAGAGCAGGCCACAUAAACCCAUUUUGGGGUUUGAGAUCUCAGCCUUCCGUUGUAGGUUUAGGUUUUGGGUUUCUUUAAAUGCUUGAAAACGCAGCUAGCAAAAGGAGACUCUGGUGACGACGGAGAGGGAAGAAAUAGAAAAAGGCUUUCGGCCAAGAGAGAAAAGGGAGAUGGGGUAACAACCGAGAGUGAAAGGAAAAGAAUCGAGUGACGGCUAAGGGGAGAAGGAGUGACGGCUGGAAAAGGAGUUUGAGGGGGAGAAACCGAGAAAGGGCUACAGAGAAAGGGAAUUAGCAAAAGAGAGAUAGCUAGAGGAAACGAACGGAAAGAAAGAGCUUCAAGAGGAGGAGAGUUUUUGACGGCUGAAAGAAAAGGGAGUGGGACGGCUGAAGAGAAAAAUAGGAGAGAAUCUGGGUGGGAGUUAGAUUGAAGGAAAGGAAGAACUUUGCUGCUGGGGUAGAAAGCUACGGGAAGGUUUCUUCAUCAAAGCCUGGGGUUGAUCUCUUCAUCAAACUCAAGCUGAGGUUUUAGAUCCAAAGGAGGUAAAACAAGUAAACUUCGACCCAUUUCUUAUUCAUAUCACUUCCCAUAUGAAGCCCGUGAGUAUGGCAAGUUUAUCAUUUUGUAGCAGUUUCCUCGCAUGUUACUUGCAUUUUACAGUCAAAAGCUGCUUUCUUUAGUCGAUUGUUUGCUCCCCUUUGCCGUCUGUUGGUUCUGUCUAUGCUUCAUGUUGACUGAUGAUUCUUCGUUGAUGAAGUUAUAAUGUCUUGUGGGAAUUGUUUCGCAUGAAUAUGUUUCAGCCGAGUGAGAAAAUGUAGAAAGUUUUCACCUUUGCAUGACUUUUGGCCCCUACCCUGCAUGCUCUUGUCCCAGAAGCUUUGUUUAUCAGUUUGGUUAGUUUAGUUGAUGAUUUUGAGACUAGUGGAUGAUAUUUUAUAGUCUUCUUUUGGGGGUAAAUCUUGACAAUUAUUGAUGGUUACUGACUAAUAAACAACCCAUAAGGAAAUUGCAGAAGCUUCCUUGCGGUUUGUGAAGUCACGGAAAGUUUCCAGUUUGCGUGUUUGAUCCUAAUUUCGUGCUUAAAUACAAAGGUUUUACGUUUGCAAAGUAGGAAGAUUGUUUGAGGAUUUUGUUGCCUGAAUUCAAAUGGUGUUUAACUGAUAUUUGCGCAUGAAAUCUGCUGCAACAAGCUCGAAGCUUUCGGUUUGUUGCAGCAGCGUGGAAAUUUCUUUUGAUUGCUCAAAGCUCAAGGCUUUCUUUCCUUUGGUUGCUGAAAUUUUCAUUUGUUUGAAGCGUUUGGUUCGCUUGUAGCUUGAUGGAUACACCACGUACGCACUCACCCCAAGCUGUCUUCUUGUUGUCUUGACUGUGUUUUUAUAUCCAGUCGUAUGGGUGAAUCUGUUGGGUAUAGACCGUUGCAUUUGGGCAACGUUAACAACAUGGGUUGGAAGCUUUAGCCUUGGGGUUUGGUGGAUAAGAAAGUUGCAGGAAAAAAAUUGUGUCUGGAAAAUGCAGAAAUGUCUUCGAUGUUUGCGACUGGUCUUUCUCUUGUUCGUUCAUAUGUUCCAAUAGCGGUUUUCCUUGCGUUUCUGUGGAGUCUUGAGGAUUGCUCAACAGCUUGUUUGAGAGGUUUUGGUUUGGUUAACAUUAAUUAAGCGAGAUUUUAGUUGCUGUUUUCCUUUUACAAGGCAUGCGCGUGAUUAGGAACUUAGAAGAUAAAAGCCAUCAGUUUUCUUUAUCUUGUUCGGGUUUGUUUGUUUUGGGUUUGGGUCGAAGUUUUCAGAAAGUGUUCAUAUCAUUUUGUUGUGUUCUUACGGUUGGUGGUUGAACAAGUUAGGAUUUGUUUGAGUUAGGUUGCAUGAAUGUAUCUAGGCUGGAAAGAAAAGAAACCGUAUGAGAAUGGUUACAGAAGGCAGCAAGCUUUGGUAGUAGAAGCUUUCUCCGUAGCCUUUUGCAUGAAGUUUUGCAUGAAAAAUGUUCAAAUAAAUUGCAUUUCAACCCCUUGGUUUUUGGUUAAUGCUACAAAGGUCCAAUUAUGUUCUAAUCUCUUGCAAUUAGGUCCUACAGUAAUUGCAAUUUGAAUCAUUACUUAUGGACCUUUGAAGUUCCCAAAAUAUUUUAAUUGGACUUGAGUGAUUGAUUAACGUUUGCUAUUGGGUCCUUUUGUUUCAAUUUGUCAGAUAUGUUGUCUACUUUUAUUUGAAUGCUUUGAGUGAUUCAAUUUUCCAUUUAAUUUUUGUUGAUUAAAGUGAUGCCUUAACUCUUUCUUUGUUUUUGGAGGGUAAAUAAGUAAUCUCACUUCAUUAGGGCUCCAACUCAAGGGAGGUACACACAAUCCCUUAUUUCUUACUUUAUUUGACCCUACGUGCCUUAUGUGACAUUAUGUGUUCAAUUGCAUGCCUCUUGAAUGUUUUUUAUUUAUUUAUUUAUUUCAUUUAUUUGUUUAUUCGCUUUAUUGGCUCUAGUUUUGUAUAUUUAUUUCAAUCAUUUGAAAGGCACUUGAAUGCCAAAGUUGUAAUAGUUAGGAGUUUAUUUACUUGUUUUUUAUUCCUCUCCCCCCUUUAGAUUGUAGUUAGGUAUUCCCCAAUGUAAUAGAUAGGGCUCAUUUGCUUGUUUGCCUCGUUUGUUGGCGUGCUUGCCUGCCUAUGUGUUUAAUUACUUUCCCUUAUAUGUAUAUUACUUACCCC